rnacentral:rRNA from 1 species
AGUGAACGCUGGCGGUAGGCCUAACACAUGCAAGUCGAACGGCAGCACAGUAAGAGCUUGCUCUUACGGGUGGCGAGUGGCGGACGGGUGAGGAAUACAUCGGAAUCUACUUUUUCGUGGGGGAUAACGUAGGGAAACUUACGCUAAUACCGCAUACGACCUACGGGUGAAAGCAGGGGAUCUUCGGACCUUGCGCGAUUGAAUGAGCCGAUGUCGGAUUAGCUAGUUGGCGGGGUAAAGGCCCACCAAGGCGACGAUCCGUAGCUGGUCUGAGAGGAUGAUCAGCCACACUGGAACUGAGACACGGUCCAGACUCCUACGGGAGGCAGCAGUGGGGAAUAUUGGACAAUGGGCGCAAGCCUGAUCCUGCCAUACCGCGUGGGUGAAGAAGGCCUUCGGGUUGUAAAGCCCUUUUGUUGGGAAAGUAAAGCAGCAGGUUAAUACCCCGCUGUUCUGACGGUACCCAAAGAGUAAGCACCGGCUAACUUCGUG